CGUAUCGGAUUACUGGGCGUAAGCGCACGCAGGCGGUCUGUCAAGUCGGAUGUGAAAUCCCCGGGCUCAACCUGGGAACUGCAUUCGAAACUGGCAGGCUAGAGUCUUGUAGAGGGGGGUAGAAUUCCAGGUGUAGCGGUGAAAUGCGUAGAGAUCUGGAGGAAUACCGGUGGCGAAGGCGGCCCCCUGGACAAAGACUGACGCUCAGGUGCGAAAGCGUGGGGAGCAAACAGGAUUAGAUACCCUGGUAGUCCACGCCGUAAACGAUGUCGACUUGGAGGUUGUGCCCUUGAGGCGUGGCUUCCGGAGCUAACGCGUUAAGUCGACCGCCUGGGGAGUACGGCCGCAAGGUUAAAACUCAAAUGAAUUGACGGGGGCCCGCACAAGCGGUGGAGCAUGUGGUUUAAUUCGAUGCAACGCGAAGAACCUUACCUACUCUUGACAUCCAGAGAACUUUCCAGAGAUGGAUUGGUGCCUUCGGGAACUCUGAGACAGGUGCUGCAUGGCUGUCGUCAGCUCGUGUUGUGAAAUGUUGGGUUAAGUCCCGCAACGAGCGCAACCCUUAUCCUUUGUUGCCAGCGGUCCG
rnacentral:rRNA from 1 species